rnacentral:lncRNA from 1 species
ACCCACAUGUCGAUAUUAACUUAGUCAAAUAGAAAAGCCAGCUAUACAUAAACUUAGUGCUUCAUCAUUAGAAAUCCACAUUCAUUCAACAAAUAUACAGUAAGAAUUAUCAACAGGGCUGGAGAAUUUUCCUUGUUCAUAGAAAAUGUGUUUAAAAACUCUAAGAAAUAGAGUAUUCAAUGAAUAAUGGAAAAUAUCUCACAAAUAUUUAAGUUCAUCAAAUAAACAUAUGACUGUUUUAUUCUUGUAUAAUUGUCUGUAAUAUAUUGGCACACUGUCUAAUUCAAUUACCAAAAACAAGGAUAGACUGCUCUUUGACUUACUCUUUACUGCUAGACUAGAUACACUGAAACGCCCUCAGCUGUGCCCUAGGCUCUUACUGCCUCAAGCUACUGCUUUAGUGAUGGAUACGAGGGCAAAAUAAAGAAUGAAAAUUCAAAAUGUGACACUUUUAACUAAUCAACUGCAAGAUAAUUUCUUUUCAGCACUGGUAAAAGUACCCUCUUCCUACAUGUGGGCUCUGUAUUUGGCUAUAAUCUUUGGAACAGGCAUGUUUAAAAAAUGGAAUAAUGUAAUUAUUAUCAAAACUAAUUUGUACCUCAAACAGCCCAAAUUAGAUUCAAUAAGCGCAGCAGAAAUUACAGUGAUUUAAGUUCCGCUGUUUCAUCCUACUAAAUUUUUAAUUGU